rnacentral:rRNA from 1 species
GACGAACGCUGGCGGCGUGCUUAACACAUGCCAGUCGAACGGAAAGGCCCUGCUUUUGUGGGGUGCUCGAGUGGCGAACGGGUGAGUAACACGUGAGUAACCUGCCCUUGACUUUGGGAUAACUUCAGGAAACUGGGGCUAAUACCGGAUAGGAGCUCCUGCUGCAUGGUGGGGGUUGGAAAGUUUCGGCGGUUGGGGAUGGACUCGCGGCUUAUCAGCUUGUUGGUGGGGUAGUGGCUUACCAAGGCUUUGACGGGUAGCCGGCCUGAGAGGGUGACCGGCAACAUGGGGAAUUGGUGCCGGCCCGGACCCCUCCGGGGGGCAGAGGGGGGGAAUAUUGCACACGGGGCGGAAGCUUGAUGCAGCAACCCCGCGUGGGGGAGGGGGGCCUUCGGUGUGUAAACCGCUUUCGCCUGUGACGAACGGGGAAGGACGGUAAUGGGUAAACAACCACCGCCUAACCACCU